UGGCCAGACCCACCUGGAACUCAGAGGACAAGGGCGCCCAAGACAUACGGCCUGCAGCAAUUCACUGCUUGGGACAUAGUGCAGGCUACAGAAGGGCCCUGAAAAGAAGAUAACAACGGCUAUCAUGUUGCCACCCCACGGUGGCAAAAGGAGUGAAUUUUGCCAAUUACUAUCAGUGCCCUUGAUAUUCCAGGUGAAAGAAAAAGUGGACUCAGCAGAUUCCCUGUGGAUAGGACCACUCAGGAGAGAAGGAGAGUAGAGUAAACUGAGACUUACGGAAGUGAAGUAAAGAUUAUGUUGUGAAGAACUGAGGAAGCUGGGAUGAUCUGACUCUUGCGUGUGGACUUUUAAUAACUUUACUUACUUUACGUGCUCAUUAAUAUAUGGGUUCGAGAAGAGUAAAAAAAGCUAACCUUUCAACAAAAUAAUUAAAUCAGGCAAACUGUUCCUUGCGCCAUUGAUCAGGGAGACUUGGCAGUGUUUGGAUUUCUAAUUAAAUCAGGCAGAUUUAAUUAGGGUUCCUAGGGCUUUCUCCCUGUCCUGUGGAAAGUUUUGUGGUGAGUUUCAUAUGAGAAUAUAAA